AGGACGAACGCUGGCGGCGUGCCUAAUGCAUGCAAGUCGCACGCACCUUCGGGUGAGUGGCGCACGGCUGAGGAACACGUGGCUGACCUGCCCCGGAGUGGGGGAUAACGGGCCGAAAGGCUCGCUAAGCCCGCAUACGACCCGCUGUGAUGGCGGAGGAAAGCCGCAAGGCGCUCUGGGAGGGGGCCGCGCCCCAUUAGCUGGUUGGUGUGGUAACGGCGCACCAAGGCGAUGAUGGGUUCCGGGUCUGAGAGGACGACCCGGCAGACUGGGACUGAGACACGGCCCAGACUCCUACGGGGGACAGCAGCAAGGAUUUUCCCCAAUGGGCGCAAGCCUGAGGGAGCAACGCCGCGUGGAGGAUGACGGCUUUCGGGUUGUAAACGUCCGUUUUGGGGGGACGAUAAUGACGGUACCCCUCGAACAAGCCCCGGCUAACUACGUGCCAGCAGCCGC
rnacentral:rRNA from 1 species